rnacentral:rRNA from 1 species
AUGGAUCUUUCCAGCUCCUCCCGUCCUCGUCGGCGUCAUCCUCGCCCGAGCACGCGUCGGGGCGGGCGUCGCCGGCCAAGCGCCCCGCGGAGCGCACCAAGUUCCGGGAGACGCGGCACCCGGUGUACCGCGGCGUGCGGCGCAGGGGCAACGCGGGGCGGUGGGUGUGCGAGGUGCGCGUCCCUGGCAAGCGUGGUUCUCGGCUCUGGCUCGGGACGUACCUGA